GAUGAAGAACGUAGCGAAAUGCGAUAAGUAAUGUGAAUUGCAGAAUUCAGUGAAUCAUCGAAUCUUUGAACGCACAUUGCGCCCGCCAGUAUUCUGGCGGGCAUGCCUGUCUGAGCGUCAUUUCAACCCUCAUGCCCCUAGGGCGUGGUGUUGGGGAUCGGCCAAAGCCCGCGAGGGACGGCCGGCCCCUAAAUCUAGUGGCGGACCCGUCGUGGCCUCCUCUGCGAAGUAGUGAUAUUCCGCAUCGGAGAGCGAUGAGCCCCUGCCGUUAAACCCCCAACUUUCGAAGGUUGACCUCAGAUCAGGUAGGAAUACCCGCUGAACUUAAGCAUAUCAAUAAGCGGAGGA
rnacentral:misc_RNA from 1 species